CCCACACUGACCAGCCUGGCCUUUGGCUCUCUCCUCUUCAAGGUGUGGUGCAAAGGUUUGGCAGAAGGAAUGCAUAGUGCCAGUAAGCACAGGAAGGCAUCAGUUUUCUCCACUCCUGGAAAUUGAAACAGGCUCUGGCUUGGAGGAAAUCAAAAAGACUGCCUUGCCCUUGCUUGUGUUUGUGGAUUCAAGGGUCUCUCUAAGGCUUUAACCUUUCAGGACCAGUUUAUCAUACGCUGAUGUAAGGCUGAUCCAUCAGAAUCUACUGUCUUCAGCACCAGAAAAGAGAUACUGGUCACAUGUGGCUGCUGACCUUGUCAGCUCUCUCACGGGUUAAAUGUGAGCUAAAGAAUGAUAUAUUUCUCUCUGCCCUUAGAAGCCAAAUGGGUACAUUAUGACUUUAAUAUUUUUUUCUAACAUUUCUGAAUGUGGAUAAAAGCUUGAAACUUUGGCCUCUGUGUACACAAGAGAUAUGAAAUUACAAAGGCAUAAAACAAGACCCACAAGUAUUUAAUUUAAACUCUUCUUUGUCUAUUUGGGGAAGGGGAAUUGAUGUGGGACAGUUUUCAGUAUUUGAGGUUGACAACACUGCAUUUUACAGAUCCCUGGAGUGUUCCUUUUACCUGUCUUAGCUGAGCACUAAAAUAACUGGUGUGGAUAAUUAUUAUAGAAGCAGAACUGGACAGUUAAUAUGUUGCUGCUUCGAGCUCUUUGCAACUCAAGUAGGCAUUACUGCAUAGGUUAUAUUUGACUCA